rnacentral:sRNA from 1 species
GCGGCGCUGAGGACCGCACGGAAACGGGGAAGUCAGGUGGCCGCUGUUGCCGCCGCCGCCGCGGUUUGUCGCCAGAAGGAAGAUGGCGGAUCUGGAGGAGCAGUUGUCUGAUGAAGAGAAGGGAAGGAGCAGCCCAUGCAUUUGCACAGUAUAACUUGGACCAGUUUACUCCAGUAAAAAUUGAAGGUUAUGAAGAUCAGGUAUUGAUAACAGAACAUGGCGACUUGGGAAAUGGAAAGUUUUUGGAUCCAAAGAACAGAAUCUGUUUUAAAUUUGAUCACUUAAGGAAGGAGGCAACUGAUCCAAGACCCUGUGAAGUAGAAAAUGCAGUUGAAUCAUGGAGAACUUCAGUAGAAACUG